GAUGAACGCUGGCGGCGUGCUUAACACAUGCAAGUCGAACGGAAAGGCUCCUGCUUGCCGGGGUACUCGAGUGGCAAACGGGUGAGUAACACGUGGGUGAUCUGCCCUGCACUGCGGGAUAAGCCUGGGAAACUGGGUAUACUACCGGAUAGGACGAUGGUUUGGAUGCCAUUGUGGAAAGUUUAUCGGUGUGGGGUGAGCUCGUGGGCUAUCAGCUUGUUGGGGGGGUAAUGGCCUACCAAGGCGUCGACCGGUCGCCGGCCUGAGAGGGUGUGCGGCAACACUGAGACUUAGAGACGGCACCGGCGCCUACGGUAGGCAGCAGGGGGGAAUAUUGAUCAAUGGGCGCCAGCCGGAUGCAGCAGCGCCGCGGGGUGGAUGACGGUCUUGUGGUUGAAGAAACCCUUCGCGAGGAACGAACCGGUGUGUGACGGUACCGGGAGAAUAAGCACCGGCUAACUACGUG
rnacentral:rRNA from 1 species